GGUUCCGUGGUGUAGGGGUUAACAUGCCUGCCUGUCACGCAGGAGAUCGCGAGUUCAAAUCUCGUCGGGACCGCCA
rnacentral:tRNA from 1 species